rnacentral:rRNA from 1 species
GAUGAACGCUAGCUACAGGCUUAACACAUGCAAGUCGAGGGGCAGCAUGAACUUAGCUUGCUAAGUUUGAUGGCGACCGGCGCACGGGUGAGUAACGCGUAUCCAACCUGCCCAUCACUUGGGGAUAACCUUGCGAAAGUAAGACUAAUACCCAAUGACGUCUCUAGAAGACAUCUGAAAGAGAUUAAAGAUUUAUCGGUGAUGGAUGGGGAUGCGUCUGAUUAGCUUGUUGGCGGGGUAACGGCCCACCAAGGCGACGAUCAGUAGGGGUUCUGAGAGGAAGGUCCCCCACAUUGGAACUGAGACACGGUCCAAAACUCCUACGGGAGGCAGCAGUGAGGAAUAUUGGUCAAUGGGCGAGAGCCUGAACCAGCCAAGUAGCGUGCAGGAUGACGGCCCUAUGGGUUGUAAACUGCUUUAUAAGGGAAUAAAGUGGGAGUCGUGACUCUUUUUGCAUGUACCUUAUGAAUAAGGACCGGCUAAUUCCGUGCCAGCA